rnacentral:rRNA from 1 species
UCAGAUAACACGUAGUCAACAUGCCCAGAGGACGUGGAUAACCUCGGGAAACUGAGGGUAAACCGCGAUAGGUCAUGAUUUCUGGAAUGGUUUAUGGCUGAAAUCUAUAUGGCCUCUGGAUUGGACUGCGGCCGAUCAGGCUGUUGGUGAGGUAAUGGCCCACCAAACCUGUAACCGGUACGGGCUCUGAGAGGAGGAGCCCGGAGAUGGGCACUGAGACAAGGGCCCAGGCCCUAUGGGGCGCAGCAGGCGCGAAAUCUCUGCAAUAGGCGAAAGCUUGACAGGGUUACUCUGAGUGAUUCCCGCUAAGGGGAUCUUUUGGCACCUCUAAAAAUGGUGCAGAAUAAGGGGUGGGCAAGUCUGGUGCCAGCCGCC